UGAGCAGGCUGUCUCUGCUAAAAAAGAUGGACUAACUGCCAGAGCCACUGACAGGCAGUCGAUAGCACAGCAAUUAAUGUCAUAAAUAAUUCCAGAACCAAUUACAUCAAAAUGGACUCGGAGCUUUAAAAAGCUGUGAAAUCUCUUCUUCCCACUUUUGCCUGUUCCUUAGACUCGGAUUCUAGUCCACGUUAAUUUCAGUGGUUCUCAUGCUGCUUUGCAAAGAGAAUGUAUAACAGGAUUUGUACAGGAGAUCCUGGUAAGGAACAUGGAACUAACAAUCCAACACCAACUGGAAGAAUUGGUAAUGGUCAAAAGGAGAUGCCACAUGUCCUACCAAUCUCCCAGAAAUCUCCUUGCUGGAAUCCAUCUUGGCUGAGCAAAGUGUGUACCAUCAAGAAGGACCUUGAGCCAGAAUGAUUGGCCAGAGGCAACCUGGAAACUAAUCCCAUUACUGUAAAGCCUGAGACUGAGCCACGUGGCAGAGCAGCCCUCCUGGGAUCCCUCAUCUUCCUGCUCUCCGCCCUUCUCAAUAAAGUCGCUUGCUUCGUCAGCAUCUGUGUCUCCUUGGACAAUUCAUUUCUGAGCGUUAGACAAGAGCCCACUCUCGGGGGCUGGAAGGAGUCCUCUGUCCCACAAAAUGAGGACCUUCCAAGAAGUACAAAGUUUUAGUUGUGACGUAAUAAACUGGAUUAAAAUUUUCUUGCAU
ensembl:lncRNA